GGGGAAGUCGGUGAAUAUACGAAAAGGUACAGUCGACUCAUGCGUUGAAAAAUGCAUGUUUUUGUGUGCCCCACCGUGCGCUGAAGGACUAAAUUUGGUACAUUUACGACACAAGACCCGCCGCAAUGAACUUCUUAUUUCCUUUGCCAAGAGCAACCCAUUUUUAGUAUGCUAGUCCUCGAAUGCGAACUCGCGGGUUUGUAAAGCAGACUGGUCUUCGGAGGGAAAACUAGGGCUGCUGGCAGCUGCAACGGAAGCACGUGCUGGACAAAAGUGUCUUCGUUUCCGGGCGCCAGCGUCGUUCCACGUGAACCACAUUGUUUCUUGUGCGCGCAUUGCAUAUGAGCAGCGCUCCUCCCAAGUAUUUAGCGCUUUACCCUAAAGAAGGAGUAGCUGUAGUCUUUGAAGUUUAUCCUCUUCGUGACACUGCUAGCCUCGAAUCCGAAGUGUGGAAAGGAGGCCACCCGUUUACUCGAACAUUGGAAGAACAUCUUAGCGAGUGCUGGUACAGUUGUGAGUGGGAGGGGCUGGAAAUAUUGCUCGCUAGUGCAUGGUAGUCAUGACCAUUUUCGGCGAACACCUUCCGGACAACAGGCUGUUCCGCAGUCACGGUUUUCCUGUCAUGUUUCCACACAAUAUCGCAUCUGGGUGGCUCUGUUGGAUCUGUGGUUGCGAUUGAAAGGUAGAAGGGACAAGAGGGUAGCGCGUGCUUCGUGUACUUGAAACGUCAUCAGUGAACCAGCCUAGGAGGCCUACCUCUCAGCCACAACGGAUUGACCCGAGGAGGUCAAUAUGAACACGGGAUUAUAUGCUUGCAGCUACCAUGUCUCCCCUCUGCAGAAUAGGUCCACGAGAAGGACGUUCUCGUAUAGAGCACGUCGAACUUCGGUGUGUGAUGCCCUGUCUGUGAACCCCAACCAAUGCUGUGGCAGCACUGAAAAAGAAUAUCACUGUCGUUGUCGAUGAGCGUAUUAAUGUGUUGUUUCUCCCCCGGCUUCCCUGCUGUGUGGUCGAGGGCAUCAUUUGAAGACGAAAAGCAUGUUUCUAGAGACACGUGCGUUACUUUUGAAACCUCUCCCGGAAAAGCAGGCUUUUCCAACUGUACGGAUGUCGCGUGGGGCUCGCACUGCGGAACAUCCGUCUCUCUUGUGUAUGGACAAUGGAUUGCGGCGUGUCGUUCGGCCGCAUACCAGUCAGUUCUCUAAGCUGCCGCUGAUAAACAGUGUUCAGGUCCCCGGCGGGCAUUCAUGACACGGCUGCAGGAAUGACAGUUAUGGCGAUAAGCGGGCUUCAGUAGCCAUGCAAGAAGGCAAAAAUCUUAAACCUGUUCUUGUCCUGUACAACACACAUAUCAGGAUAUGUACUUGAAAUUGUUACAAGCAACGUGGGACCUAAUCGGAGGACCGAAGUGAAUUCAUGGCGCAAGCGCAUCAAGGGCAUGUGGGGGUUGUGGGCGGCUACUAUUGGAGGGAUUAUGGAUGACAGUUAAGGAAUACGCUACAUGUUAAGUCACGUUGGCCCCAACAUUGUCAGAUUUUUGUAGGUACCGGAUGAUAGAACGGGGGAUACUGUUUGGGGCGCCAAAAAAUAAAGUGGCCGGACAAAAUGUGUGUCCAACAAGCGACGACUUCCUCUGUAGAAAAUGUGGUAAGUGUUUAAACAGCAGCAACACUCACACUGGUUCGUGUUUUACCCCGGAAGCACCCGACGGCCUCGCUUAUUUGUCAUUCAGAAUUUCACUGAAAGUAACUGGACUGUUGUUCACGUGCGUGUUGUGCGGAAACGACAGACAUGUAGUAUUAUUGCCGUAGUACCGGUGACCCUUAACGCACGAUACUGACUGUAAUCGACAGAAAAGCAACACAUACAUUGUCCCCUUGCAGCCGCAUGUGCCGAAAAAGCUGUUAGCACCACUGCCAUGCUGCCGUAAUGGGGUAUCUAGAUUCCCGACCCCCGUGGCAGCAAACAGAACAAGGAGCCCCUUGGCAACCCACAGAGUACGACAAACAAAUCCUGUUUCGACAUCUUCGAGUGCACUUCGUUUUUUUGAGAGAGUCCUCAGACCAGUAACCACU
rnacentral:lncRNA from 1 species